CCUACGGGUGGCAGCAGUAGGGAAUAUUGCUCAAUGGGGGAAACCCUGAAGCAGCAACGCCGCGUGGAGGAUGAAGGUUUUAGGAUUGUAAACUCUUUUUGUUAGAGAAGAUUAUGACGGUAUCUAACGAAUAAGCACCGGCUAACUCCGUGCCAGCAGCCGCGGCACUAUGGAGGGUGCAAGCGUUACUCGGAAUCACUGGGCGUAAAGAGUGCGUAGGCGGGGUAAUAAGUCAGAUGUGAAAUCCUGUAGCUUAACUACAGAACUGCAUUUGAAACUGUUACUCUGGAGUGUGGGAGAGGUAGGUGGAAUUCUUGGUGUAGGGGUAAAAUGCGUAGAGAUCAAGAGGAAUACUCAUUGCGAAGGCGACCUGCUGGAACAUUACUGACGCUGAUGCACGAAAGCGUGGGGAGCAAACAGGAUUAGAUACCCUUGUAGUC
rnacentral:rRNA from 1 species